GGUUCGGACAAUGGGUAUUCGACUUACGACAUACCAACUUGGUCACGACCGGUCGAAGGAUAUUCGGCUUGCCACCGUUUGUCAUAUGUCCCCACGUGCUACGCCCGACCAAGGGUCGGACAACGGAUAUUCGACUUGUCAUCGUUAUCCUAUCCGAAUAUGUCAGACGCCACUCAACUCUCAGAAUCUGCGAAAUGAUCGCAUCGACAUGCUACGUUCGGAGGUUGGCCG
rnacentral:lncRNA from 1 species